GGACUACCGGGGUUUCUAAUCCUGUUUGCUCCCCACGCUUUCGCACCUCAGCGUCAGUACCGGGCCAGUGAGCCGCCUUCGCCACUGGUGUUCUUGCGAAUAUCUACGAAUUUCACCUCUACACUCGCAGUUCCACUCACCUCUCCCGGACUCAAGAUCGCCAGUAUCAAAGGCAGUUCUGGAGUUGAGCUCCAGGAUUUCACCCCUGACUUAACAAUCCGCCUACGUGCGCUUUACGCCCAGUGAUUCCGAGCAACGCUAGCCCCCUUCGUAUUACCGCGGCGGCUGGCAC
rnacentral:rRNA from 1 species